CAAAUUAGAGCUUGAUAAAGUAUUUCAUUUACAUUGAAAUGAUAUUGGAAUUUAUUCAAUUAAUUUGA
rnacentral:tRNA from 1 species